UACGUAGGGGGCAAGCGUUGUCCGGAUUUAUUGGGCGUAAAGAGCGUGUAGGCGGCUUCACAGGUCCGCUGUGAAAACUCGAGGCUCAACCUCGAGCUGUCGGUGGAAACCGUGUGGCUAGAGUCCGGAAGAGGAGAGUGGAAUUCCCGGUGUAGCGGUGAAAUGCGCAGAUAUCGGGAAGAACACCCGUGGCGAAGGCGGCUCUCUGGGACGGUACUGACGCUGAGACGCGAAAGCGUGGGGAGCGAACGAGG
rnacentral:rRNA from 1 species